rnacentral:tRNA from 1 species
GUUGCCUAGUGGUUAGGGCGCACGCUUUGCAAGCCUGAGGCCCCAGGUUUGAUCCCUAGC